rnacentral:rRNA from 1 species
CAGUCGCCGCGGUAAUACGAAGGGUGCAAGCGUUAAUCGGAAUUACUGGGCGUAAAGCGUGCGUAGGUGGUGAGUUAAGUCUGCUGUGAAAUCCCCGGGCUCAACCUGGGAAUGGCAGUGGAUACUGGCUCGCGAGAGUGUGUCAGAGGAUGGUGGAAUUCCCGGUGUAGCGGUGAAAUGCGUAGAGAUCGGGAGGAACAUCAGUGGCGAAGGCGGCCAUCUGGGACAACACUGACGCUGAGGCACGAAAGCGUGGGGAGCAAACAGGAUUAGAUACCCCGGUAGUCCCUGUCUCUUAUAC